CCUACGGGUGGCAGCAGUGAGGAAUAUUGGUCAAUGGGCGAGAGCCUGAACCAGCCAAGUCGCGUGAGGGAGUACUGCCCUAUGGGUUGUAAACCUCUUUUGUCGGGGAGCAAAAGCCGGACGUGUCCGGCUGUGAGAGUACCCGAAGAAAAAGCAUCGGCUAACUCCGUGCCAGCAGCCGCGGUAAUACGGAGGAUGCGAGCGUUAUCCGGAUUUAUUGGGUUUAAAGGGUGCGCAGACGGAUUUUUAAGUCAGCGGUAAAAUCGUGGGGCUCAACCCCCUCCAGCCGUUGAAACUGGGGAUCUAGAGUGUGCGAGAGGUAUGCGGAAUGCGUGGUGUAGCGGUGAAAUGCAUAGAUAUCACGCAGAACCCCGAUUGCGAAGGCAGCAUACCGGUGCACAACUGACGCUCAGGCACGAAAGCGUGGGUAUCGAACAGGAUUAGAUACCCCAGUAGUC
rnacentral:rRNA from 1 species